GGGGCUAGCAGAAACAGAUGUAAGAGACUUUGGCAAAAUGAUGGUGGUAUUAAUCACUGGAUGCCAAAAUGCGGAUGAAGCUUGUUAUUUGUCCUAUGAUAAAUGGGUGAAAGCUGAAAAGGAAAUGGCCAUGGAUCAGCGAAUUGCGGUUGGCGCCGAUUCAGAAGAGUUAGAACGAGCAUUAAGAAUUGCAUUUUGGUGCUUACAAGAUGAUGAACGUAUGAGGCCGCCAAUGGGAGAGGUAAUCAAGGUACUGGAGGGAACUCUGACUGUCGAUCCUCCACCACCUCCUUUUGCUCAUAAUCAACAGUGGCCACCUGAUGACGAAUCACCAUCUGAAUCAUAUUCAGCACCGUAGAAGUUCUAAUUCGUAUUUUUUAUUCCCAUUAAGUCAUCUGUUGCUG
rnacentral:misc_RNA from 1 species